UACGGGGGGAGCAAGCGUUGUUCGGAUUUACUGGGCGUAAAGGGCGCGUAGGCGGCCAGCACAAGUCAGUUGUGAAAUCUCCGGGCUUAACUCGGAAAGGUCAACUGAUACUGUGCGGCUAGAGUGCAGAAGGGGCAACUGGAAUUCUCGGUGUAGCGGUGAAAUGCGCAGAUAUCAGGAGGAACACCGGUGGCGAAGGCGGAUCUCUGGGCCUGUUCUGACGCUGGAGGCGCGAAAGCUAGGGGAGCGAACAGG
rnacentral:rRNA from 1 species